AGCUGCUGCAGCAGCGGCCCUGCCAGGAGCGCGCAGACUGCGCCAUCGACAUGCCCACCGCUAAACGUAUCUGCAUGGAGGCGCCGGAGCAGGGCCCGUGCCGCGGGCUGUACCAGCGCUGGGCGUUUGUAGCGAUGAAGGGCAUGUGCGUGCCCUUCAACUACGGCGGCUGCCGCGGCGGACAGAACAACUUCCUCACGCAGCAGGACUGCAUGGACACCUGCAAGGUGCUGCUCGGUGGAGGCGGACCAGCAGGGGGCGCUGGACCGGUAGGG